rnacentral:rRNA from 2 species
CUAUAAUGCAGUCGAGCGAACUGAUUAGAAGCUUGCUUCUAUGACGUUAGCGGCGGACGGGUGAGUAACACGUGGGCAACCUGCCUGUAAGACUGGGAUAACUUCGGGAAACCGAAGCUAAUACCGGAUAGGAUCUUCUCCUUCAUGGGAGAUGAUUGAAAGAUGGUUUCGGCUAUCACUUACAGAUGGGCCCGCGGUGCAUUAGCUAGUUGGUGAGGUAACGGCUCACCAAGGCAACGAUGCAUAGCCGACCUGAGAGGGUGAUCGGCCACACUGGGACUGAGACACGGCCCAGACUCCUACGGGAGGCAGCAGUAGGGAAUCUUCCGCAAUGGACGAAAGUCUGACGGAGCAACGCCGCGUGAGUGAUGAAGGCUUUCGGGUCGUAAAACUCUGUUGUUAGGGAAGAACAAGUACGAGAGUAACUGCUCGUACCUUGACGGUACCUAACCAGAAAGCCACGGCUAACUACGUGCCAGCAGCCGCGGUAAUACGUAGGUGGCAAGCGUUAUCCGGAAUUAUUGGGCGUAAAGCGCGCGCAGGCGGUUUCUUAAGUCUGAUGUGAAAGCCCACGGCUCAACCGUGGAGGGUCAUUGGAAACUGGGGAACUUGAGUGCAGAAGAGAAAAGCGGAA